UUUGGGUAGCAAUAUUCGAGAUGUUUAGCGGCGAAAGGGUGCGUAACACGUGGGCAAUUUGCCAUGAAGUUGGGGAUAACUCGCUGAAAGGCGAGCUAAUACCGAAUGUGGUUUUUGGAAGGCAUCUUCUGAAAACUGAAGUUGGGGACCGUAAGGCCUGACGCUUCAUGAUGAGCCCGCGGCCUAUCAGCUAGUUGGUGAGGUAACGGCUCACCAAGGCUAAGACGGGUAGCUGGUCUGAGAGGACGACCAGCCUCACUGGAACUGAGACACGGUCCAGACACCUACGGGUGGCAGCAGUCGAGAAUUUUUCUCAAUGGGCGAAAGCCUGAAGGAGCGACGCCGCGUGGGGGAUGAAUGGCUUCGGCCCGUAAACCCCUGUCAUUUGCGAACAAACCUUUUCAUUUAACACCUGAAAAGCUGAUUGUAGCGAAAGAGGAAGGGACGGCUAACUCUGUGCCAGCAGCCGCGGUAAUACAGAGGUCCCAAGCGUUGUUCGGAUUCACUGGGCGUAAAGGGUGCGUAGGUGGUUGGGUAAGUCUGAUGUGAAAUCUCUGAGCUCAACUCAGAAACUGCAUUGGAUACUAUCCGGCUAGAGAAUCGGAGGGGGGACUGGAAUACUUGGUGUAGCAGUGAAAUGCGUAGAUAUCAAGUGGAACACCAGUGGCGAAGGCGAGUCCCUGGACGAUUUCUGACACUG
rnacentral:rRNA from 1 species